rnacentral:rRNA from 1 species
AUUGAACGCUGGCGGCAGGCCUAACACAUGCAAGUCGAACGAGUGGCGGACGGGUGAGUAAUGUCUGGGAAACUGCCUGAUGGAGGGGGAUAACUACUGGAAACGGUAACUAAUACCGCAUACCAUCGGAUGUGCCCCGAUGGGAUUAGCUAGUCGGUGGGGUAAAGGCUAACCUAGGCGACGAUCCCUAGCUGGUCUGAGAGGAUUACCAGACACACUGGAACUGAGACCCGGUCCAGACACCGACGGGAGGCAGCAGUGGGGAAUAUUGCACCAUGGGCGCAAGCCGGAUGCAGCCAUGACGCGUGUAUGAAGAAGGUCUUCGGGUUGUAAAGCACUUUCAGCGGGGAGGCGUUACCCUCAGAAGAAGCACCGGCUAACUCCGUGCCAGCAGGCGCGGUAAUUC